rnacentral:rRNA from 1 species
CAGCCGCCGCGGGAAUACAGAGGGUGCGAGCGUUAAUCGGAUUUACUGGGCGUAAAGCGUGCGUAGGCGGCUUCUUAAGUCGGAUGUGAAAUCCCUGAGCUUAACUUAGGAAUUGCAUUCGAUACUGGGAAGCUAGAGUAUGGGAGAGGAUGGUAGAAUUCCAGGUGUAGCGGUGAAAUGCGUAGAGAUCUGGAGGAAUACCGAUGGAGAAGGCAGCCAUCUGGCCUAAUACUGACGCUGAGGUACGAAAGCAUGGGGAGCAAACAGGAUUAGAUACCCCUGUAGUCCCUGUCUCUUAUAC